CCCCAGUUCUGCCAAACGACCUUGUAAAUACGCUCCGCCCGAGAAAGAGCUGAUGAGUUAGCGAAGGGGGCUUUCUGGAAACCAAGUCCCGCAGGACACGCAGGAAAACAAGGACCCCAAGGUACUUGCAACCUCAAAUGAAGCAGCACAAAAAUACAGCACAGGAAGAGCUGGCAGGCAGCUGAGUUUUCUCUGAAAGGAUACCUGGACCAGAAAGUCUUGGCUCUACCUGACAGGGGUCUCUGCAAACCUGUGUACAGGGGCUCUGUGAGAGGGCUGCCAGGACACGCAGGUGAGCAAGGAAGGCCGAUGGAGACAGUCAUGAAGCCUAGCAGCAAAACCUGGGUCAUCCUUUCCUUGAUUUCCUGUGCUUGUUUGGUACCCAGACAGGGGCAUCUCCACUAGCCCCUGUUCCAAGCCUUGCAAAGCCCCCUUUGUUCAGGACCCCCACAGCUGUCUGCCCCCCAUGUACUUCUCUUCACCACUACAGACCACCUAAAAUGGAGCCACCACAGAUUCCAAACCAAAAGCACCUAACACAUAUAUUGUAAAAAUUUCAGAUAAAAUAAAUCAUAUCUUCUCCAAG
rnacentral:lncRNA from 1 species